GUUGGGCACGUGAUGAAUCUCAACACAUUAAUGGGUAAUUUGCGUCUGAAAUUUUCAUUGAUGCUAUUUCACGUUGGAGAACUGAUGCCCUUU